AAAGGACUGUGGGGGAAGGGGGAGCCUGUAGAACGGGUCAAAGGAUGGAAAGGGGGUAGGAGAGGGCUCGAAACGAGAAAGGAGAGACUCAGUCCUGAUGCCUCCAAGGUGUGUCUGUGCUUCUUCCUGCAAUGGACUUUUGGACAGUGCAGCCAGCCACUUCCGGCCUCCUUUAACCGGAGGACCUCCUCAGAACGUGGUUUGAGAUUCUGGCCACCAGGAGUCUGACUCCUCUGACCUUCAUGGCCCUGGGCACACAUGUGCACAGACAUAAAUGCAAGCAAAGCACUCGUCCACAUGAGAUUUUUUUUUCAAAUAUUAAAAUAAGAAGGAACCAUGAAGAACCAAAGGGGGUUUUCCUGAGAAGGACAGAAGGAAGUGCUACCAGGGCUCAUGCUCAUGGGACCAACCAGGGCUCUACCACAGGGACCUGGAUGAGAUCAUUUCCUCGGCCUGGUGGCUCCUGCGGCGAGAAAGAGGAGCUCCAGUCCACUGUGCUCAGUGUGUCAGCGGCCGGCAGUGUUCAGUUUGCACACCCUCAACUCUGUGAACUUGCUAAGUUUCUCACCUUGGACCUGCAUGAACUAUCACGGCCACAUCUGAGCCCUUCAAAUCGGCACAGGCCGGGGAGCUGUGGGGAAGGGCAGAGAGGAGAAGAAAGAGGCCUCCCACAGCAAGCUAACCAGUGUCUACUGUCAGCCUCUGGCAGACACUUCAAGGAAAGUGAUAUCAGUACAAGGCAGAGAGUAGGAAACUCGAGAUGAAGGCACAGGCUGACU